UUCUGGGUUUUUUAAUUCCAGCAAGAUCCCAACAAGGAUGUCCGAAAGCAAAUUUAUAGAGAACUUUCACAUUCGAAGGCCAGAAACAAUUGAUUGAAUUGAACAUGUUGAAAGUCUCGAGCUCUUCUCCAAGAUUGAAGACAUCACCUUUAUCACAGACACAGUGUCAGAAGCUGACUUUAUGCUGAAGAUGCUUUUCAUACUGGAGUUUGCCAGUGGGCUGGAAGGGGUUAGAAGAAAAUCACGAAACGAUCCGUUUGUGGUUCCUUGAAGCAAAACUUAGCAUAAAAUUCUUUGAUUACAGAAAGAAAAAGAUUUAUAACAACAUGGAUCAGUUUCUAACAGCAACCUGUGAAUGGUCUUUGAACAGAAAAGCCAAUCUUUGAUGCCAGAAGAAAAAGUCUCAUCACCCUACUGGAAAAGAUAUUUUAUCUUAAUGACCAACCAUUGAAAGGUGCAAGAGAUGAAAUUUUCUAGAUGGUGUGUAGCAUGUGAUUUUGAGGUACCGUGGGUUGAGAUACCUGCUAAAUGUUUGAUGUUGCAAGAGCUCAGGUAGUGAAACUCUUAUGAAUAUGCAGCAAUAGAACUGGAAUCAACUGCUGAGAUGAGACAAUUUUUUUUAAUACGAAAAUUGCAUGUUACAAAAUGUGUUUUAUUGCCUUGAGUUGAUGGACAUUUAUUUUUAUAUUUUCUCUCAGUUUAAAAAACACUGGUUUAAUCCCAGAAUACAACACUUGGACCAAAACAACAAUUGGAACAAAAGGACUUAGAUACAUGAGAUACAUGAUUUGUUGAGUGAGUUUGUAUCAUUAUCAUAAUCAAAAUUCAUGAUUA